rnacentral:piRNA from 1 species
ACAGCAAAUCGUAGUCUCCACU